rnacentral:lncRNA from 1 species
CCCCGGAGCGCGCCUGCGUGGGGCGGGGGCGGGGGCGGCAGCCGACUAGGGGCUGGGUCUGGCCGUUUAGGGCCGGGUCUUGGCCCGUCGCCCACGGUGCGGAGGGCUGGUGGGCUUUCGUUGGCCGUCGGGCCCGCCACGGCGCGGGUCUUGGCUGCGGGGCGGAGGUGGUGCGGGAGAGCCGAGGAUAAGAGUUUGAGGCUUUUCGAGGCGCGUGCCGCGGCGUCCGCCUCUGCGGGACUCUGCGCCGGGCGCCCUCGGCCGGCGCGCCCGGCUCCCGCUUUGUCGCCGAGGGAAGCACGCGCGACGCCCCUCCCGUCGCCGCCGUGGCUUCUUUCGGUGUUCGUGAUCUGAGAGGCUGGAAAGCAGCACGGCGGAGAGGAGCCUUGCACUCGCCAGGCGGGAAGCCUGCGCGGACACGCGUGCGCACCCACGGGGCGGCGGGCGGGCGUGGGGGGUCCGGGCCACGCGGGCGACGCGCCUCUAGGGAAGCGAUCUUGUUGCACCUUCCCGUUAUUCUGAAAGCAAAUCGUAGCCAGACCCGAGCGCAGCGGCUUAGCAAAUAAUAAGGGGAGCGUCAGUCGUGCUCGAAAUGCUUCCUUCGCGAUGGCGUCAGUGUUCCGUGAGGGAAUGAAGCCGCAGUAGGAAAUAAAGAGCCUGUGCGCGUAGUCUGAAAAGCAGAAGUCAACAUUUUUACAGAUGAAGAAAGAAUACGGAGGCAAGAGGUCUUUCUCUGCAGUUUGGUGGAUUUCCAACAUUUAGACUUGUUUGGAAGAAUUUCCUCAGCUGCACCAAUGAAGUCCUUGAUCUAUAGAAGUCGGCAGUCCCUAAAUCUACGUCUGCAUUUUGUUGCAAAUCCUUUAUAACAUUCCAUUAAAAUAAUGCAAAGUUAUUUAAUA